rnacentral:rRNA from 1 species
UACAGAGGGGGCAAGCGUUGUUCGGAAUUACUGGGCGUAAAGGGCGCGUAGGCGGCCUUCUAAGUCGAACGUGAAAUCCCUGGGCUCAACCCAGGAACUGCGUCCGAUACUGGAAGGCUUGAAUCCGGGAGAGGGAUGCGGAAUUCCAGGUGUAGCGGUGAAAUGCGUAGAUAUCUGGAGGAACACCGGUGGCGAAGGCGGCAUCCUGGACCGGCAUUGACGCUGAGGCGCGAAAGCUAGGGGAGCGAACAGG